rnacentral:rRNA from 1 species
UACGUAGGGUGCGAGCGUUAAUCGGAAUUACUGGGCGUAAAGCGUGCGCAGGCUGUUUUGUAAGUCAGAUGUGAAAUCCCUGGGCUCAACCUAGGAACUGCGUUUGAAACUACAAGGCUAGAGUGUAGCAGAGGGGGGUAGAAUUCCACGUGUAGCAGUGAAAUGCGUAGAGAUGUGGAGGAAUACCAAUGGCGAAGGCAGCCCCCUGGGUUA